CAGAAACAGUGGACAUCUGCACUGCCCAGGAGUGCCCAGGUCACUACACAGAUCGGGGAAAACAAAGGGACCAGCAGUCUCCCUGAAUUGGUAAGGUAGAGGUGAGAAUUUAGGUGGACCGAGGGGCCAGAGCACUGGAGAAAGAGUCCAGGGAAGAACAGGAGGCCCUGGGGAUCUGCAGAGGUUUUCCAGGGUUAAGCUGAGUGCUGCUCAGUACAGGGUCCUGCUGUGAGGAGAGCAUCUGGGCUGGGAGUGACCCUAGAGGAGUGACAGGGCCAGGAACAGUUGGAUUCCCCUCACUUAGAAUGCAGAGGUCGCGCAGUGAGUGGAACAUCCAGUGAAUGGAGAGCCAGCAGGGUAUUGCUGGAGGUUGCUGUGGCCCUGCCCUACAAAACUUCAAAAGCAGCCUCUUCAUUAUGACAGAAGCUGUCCAGCCUUACCAGUAGCAAGAGGCUGUAUUGCCCAGACCGGGGUUAUCUGAGGAGGCGAGGGCAGCUCCGGCUUUCCCAGGUUCCUGAUUUCCUCCUACCUGAGCAUGCAUUUGCAGGGGGCGUGUUAGCUGCAGGUGUGCACUGCACCUGAGGGAGCAGAGGAGUGGGAAGGACAAGGAGCUGCUGCGUCUUUCCACGAACUGAAACAGAGUGCCCAGCUCAAGAAGCUGUCAUCCUUUUGUCCGGUGACUUAGUGCAGAGAAGAAGCAGCGUCACGUCGGUGGUGCAGACAGACGAGUAGAGAUAGGGUCUCACUCUUGCUCAGGCUGGUAUUGAACACUGAAGCUCAGGCAAUCCAGCUGCCUCAGCCUUCUAGACUACUAGGAUUACAGGCGUGAGCCACCAUGCCCAGCCAAGACUGCACUUCUCACAUGUAAUGAGCACUGGAGUCACCUGGGGUCCUCGUUAAGCUGCACACGCUGAUUGAGCAGGUCUGGGGCGGCAGCUGAGAUUCCGCACUUCCAACAAGCUCCCAGGCAAUUCAUCCAUUCAGCCCACAAACAAGAACUGAAUAUCAACCACGCCUCACUGUGCCUCGUCCUGGGCAGUUGGAGAAACUACGCACAGCUCAGAAAAGAGCUUACAAAUUCCUUGAGCACAGAGGCUGUGUGGCCUCUGCUGUGCUCAGAGGCCCAGCUCGUUGGCUCCGGUGUGAAGGAAACUUAUGCAGAGGAUGGCGUGGGUUCUGCAGUGCCUUUCAGGACAGCCCCACAUAAGAAAGUUCCACAGUUUUUGGCCAGGGCCAGGUUUGAACCUACCACCUCCGGUAUAUGGGGCCAGCACCCUACUCCUUGAGCCAUAGGCACCGUCUUUUCAUUUUCUUAAUCUUUGGAAGCACAAAAGUUUUUCAUUUUGAUAAGGUCCAACUUACCAAUUAUUUCUUUUGUGUAUCAUGUUUUUAAUAUCAACUAUUAUAUUAAGCCAAAAAAGAAAGUUUAUAUAAAUAUAAUAUUUAAUAUUAUAAUGUACAUGACAUAUAAUUUUACAUGACAAUAUUACAUGAAAUAUGUUAGGAGGAAAAAUUAGUAUCAAAGCUUUCUCCAUAGCUCUCCUGGGCCCCUUUGUAUUUUGAAUAGAAGUAACAGCAGUUCUCUGUCAUAAACUACUGCAAUGUUUUUUUUUGUUUGUUUGUUUUUCACUAUAUAACUUUUA